UACGUAGGGUGCGAGCGUUAAUCGGAAUUACUGGGCGUAAAGCGUGCGUAGGCGGUUUUGUAAGUCAGGUGUGAAAUCCCCGAGCUUAACUUGGGAAUGGCGCUUGUGACUGCAAGGCUAGAGUAUGUCAGAGGGGGGUAGAAUUCCACGUGUAGCAGUGAAAUGCGUAGAGAUGUGGAGGAAUACCGAUGGCGAAGGCAGCCCCCUGGGGCGUCACUGACGCUCAUGCACGAAAGCGUGGGGAGCAAACAGG
rnacentral:rRNA from 1 species